AGCUUUUUCUCAUAGAAGAGAAGUAAACUGAUUAUAGAAUUGUGUAUUAAUCAGAAUCUAAAAUAGUCUUAAAUAAAUACAAGGUAGGUACUAACAAAAAAAAAAUAAUAAUAUAAAAACCAGUAUUAUAGAUGUAUAAUUUUUAAUCUUGAUCUGUUUUCUCUGUUUCUAUGAAUCUCAUAUCUUAAAAUCUAAUUACAACUUGAGUUUAAAUCACUGAUAAAAAAAAAUUCAUAAUUAUUAAUUAAAUAUUUUCAAUAGUAGCCUUGAAUAAAGUAGUAUUGAAAAUUAAUGGCUUAUACAUGUUAAGUAUAAUUAAAGGUAUUGGAAGCGAGUUUCUGUCUUUGUCUUACACACUUGAGAUAUGGAAAUUUAAACUUGAUUUACACAGAUAUUCAAUGAU